UCGAGAAUCAUCCGCAAUGGGCGCAAGCCUGACGGUGCGAUGCCGCGUGAGGGAUGAAGGCCUUCGGGUCGUAAACCUCUGUCAGGGGGGACGAAGAACUGACGGUACCCCCAGAGGAAGCCACGGCUAACUACGUGCCAGCAGCCGCGGUAAUACGUAGGUGGCGAGCGUUAUUCGGAAUUACUGGGCGUAAAGGGUCCGCAGGGGGUCUGCCAAGUUCUGCGUGAAAGCCCGCGGCUCAACCGCGGGUUGGCGCGGAAAACUGGUGGACUUGAGUGCACGAGGGGAGAGCGGAAUUCCCGGUGUAGCGGUGGAAUGCGCAGAUAUCGGGAAGAACACCAGCGGCGAAAGCGGCUCUCUGGCGUGCAACUGACCCUCAGGGACGAAAGCGUGGGUAGCAAACA
rnacentral:rRNA from 1 species